GACGUAGGGUGCGAGCGUUGUCCGGGUUUAUUGGGCGUAAAGAGCUCGUAGGCGGCUCGUCGCGUCGUCCGUGAAAACCCGCGGCUUAACCGCGGGCUUGCGGUUGAUACGGGCAGACUAGAGUUCGGUAGGGGAGUCUGGAAUUCCUGGUGUAGCGGUGAAAUGCGCAGAUAUCAGGAGGAACACCGGUGGCGAAGGCGGGACUCUGGGCCGAUACUGACGCUGAGGAGCGAAAGCGUGGGGAGCGAACAGG
rnacentral:rRNA from 1 species